GCUUGCCCUUGGGCAAGCCUCUCUGGGGAACAACGGGGAAAUAUUUGGGGAGAACCUGGCAAUCUGGGGCCCACGGGAGCAGUGUGAGAGGAGAGUAAUGGGGACCUGGAGUUCUGGACCAUGUCAGCAGAGCAGGCUGGUGGCGGCAGGAAGCAGUACCUACAGAGGCUGACCACUGUGGGAUGACCUUCCUAAGGAGGGAGGCUAGCAGCCCAAGCCCAGAAGCGAAGAAAAUGCCCAGAGUGAUUUGUUAGACCACCCGCCCAGCGGUGACACCUCCUACAGUGGGCUGGCGGCUCCUCUCACAUCCAUCACAAUCAAGAAAAUGCUCCCACCGACUGGCCUACAGGCCAAUCUAAUGGAGGCCAUUUCAACUGCGGUUCCCUCUUCCAAGACAACUCUCGCUUGUGUCAAGAUGUCCUGCAACCCUGAGAAGCUCAGGACCUGGACCUCCUCCCUGUCCCCCGCCAAGGGGAUGCUCAGCUAUUCUAUCGGGUCUCCUUUGUCCUCCAGGAUGCCUCCUGCCUCAGUUUAUCAGUUAGUAUGUGUGUCCCUCCCCCAUAAAGCAGCCCUAAACCAGGUUCCAGAGAGACUGAGGCCACAGGUGUCAAGAGUAAACUAAAACCUGCACUUAGGACAAGAAAAUCUUCUCCGUGGUGCCAUAAAAACAUUAUGGCUCAUAACCGAGAUACCUUUGUAGGGCACAGAAAUCACUUGGGGGCUGGAGAGAUGGCUCAGCACGAAAGAGUACACACGGCUCUUGCCAAGGAUGGGAGUUAGGCUCCCAGCACCCACCAUGGAUGGCUCGCAGCUGUCUGUAAUUCAUUCCAGUGAAUCUGACACCCUCUCUUGACCUCUUUGAGCACCUGCAUAUGUGUGGCACACACACACACACACACACACACACACACACACAC